rnacentral:rRNA from 1 species
AGAGUUUGAUCAUGGCUCAGGAUGAACGCUGGCGGCGUGCCUAAUACAUGCAAGUCGAACGAGGUGCCUUUGUAGCAAUACGGAGGUAUCCUAGUGGCGAACGGGUGAGUAACGCGUUGGUGACCUACCCCGAAGUCUGGGAUAACAGUUCGAAAGGACUGCUAAUACCGGAUGUGGUCAUCGGAUUUAGAAACCGAUGUCUAAAGGAUUUAUUCGCUUCGGGAGGGGCCUGCGUCCCAUCAGCUAGUUGGUAGGGUAACGGCCUACCAAGGCGACGACGGGUAGGGGACCUCAGAGGGUGGCCCCCCACAAUGGAACUGAAACACGGUCCAUACACCUACGGGUGGCAGCAGUAGGGAAUAUUGCACAAUGGGCGAAAGCCUGAUGCAGCAACGCCGCGUGCGCGAAGAAGGUCUUCGGAUCGUAAAGCGCUUUUCUGGGAGAUGAGAAAGGACAGUAUCCCAGGAAUAAGUCUCGGCUAACUACGUGCCAGCAGCCGCGGUAAAACGUAGGAGGCGAGCGUUAUCCGGAUUCACUGGGCGUAAAGCGCGUGCAGGCGGUUUGGUAAGUUGGGCGUGAAAGCUCCCGGCUCAACUGGGAGAGGUCGUCCAAAACUACCAGACUAGAGAGCGAUAGAGGAAAAUGGAAUUCCCGGUGUAGUGGUGAAAUGCGUAGAUAUCGGGAGGAACACCAGUGGCGAAGGCGAUUUUCUGGAUCGUUUCUGACGCUCAGACGCGAAAGCUAGGGUAGCAAACGGGAUUAGAUACCCUAGUAGUCC